rnacentral:rRNA from 1 species
UAGGGAAUCUUCGGCAAUGGACGGAAGUCUGACCGAGCAACGCCGCGUGAGUGAAGAAGGUUUUCGGAUCGUAAAGCUCUGUUGUUCGAGAAGAACGUUGGUAGGAGUGGAAAAUCUACCAAGUGACGGUAACUAACCAGAAAGGGACGGCUAACUACGUGCCAGCAGCCGCGGUAAUACGUAGGUCCCGAGCGUUGUCCGGAUUUAUUGGGCGUAAAGCGAGCGCAGGCGGUUCUUUAAGUCUGAAGUUAAAGGCAGUGGCUUAACCAUUGUACGCUUUGGAAACUGGAGGACUAGAGUGCUGAAGGGGAGAGUGGAAUUCCAUGUGUAGCGGUGAAAUGCGUAGAUAUAUGGAGGAUCACCGGUGGCGAAAGCGACUCACCGGUCUGUAACUGACGCUGAGGCUCGAAAGCGUGGGGAGCAAACAGG